UGGGAAUAUUGGGCAAUGGGCGCAAGCCUGACCCAGCAACGCCGCGUGAGGGAAGAAGGUCUUCGGAUUGUAAACCUCUGUCCUUGGGGACGAAAAAAAUGACGGUACCCAAGGAGGAAGCUCCGGCUAACUACGUGCCAGCAGCCGCGGUAAUACGUAGGGAGCGAGCGUUGUCCGGAAUUACUGGGCGUAAAGGGUGCGUAGGCGGCAUGGCAAGUCAGAUGUGAAAUCCCCGGGCUUAACUCGGGGGGUGCAUUUGAAACUGCUGUGCUUGAGUGCAGGAGAGGAAAGCGGAAUUCCUAGUGUAGCGGUGAAAUGCGUAGAUAUUAGGAGGAACACCAGUGGCGAAGGCGGCUUUCUAGACUGUAACUGACGCUGAGGCACGAAAGCGUGGGGAGCAAACAG
rnacentral:rRNA from 1 species